GACGAACGCUGGCGGCGUGCCUAAUACAUGCAAGUCGAGCGGACUAAUGGGAGCUUGCUCCCGUUAGUUAGCGGCGGACGGGUGAGUAACACGUGGGCAACCUACCUGUAAGACUGGGAUAACUUCGGGAAACCGGAGCUAAUACCGGAUGACAUAAAGGAACUCCUGUUCCUUUAUUGAAAGAUGGCUUCGGCUAUCACUUACAGAUGGGCCCGCGGCGCAUUAGCUAGUAGGUGAGGUAACGGCUCACCAAGGCGACGAUGCGUAGCCGACCUGAGAGGGUGAUCGGCCACACUGGGACUGAGACACGGCCCAGACUCCUACGGGAGGCAGCAGUAGGGAAUCUUCCGCAAUGGACGAAAGUCUGACGGAGCAACGCCGCGUGAGCGAUGAAGGCCUUCGGGUCGUAAAGCUCUGUUGUUAGGGAAGAAUAAGUGCUAGUUGAAUAAGCUGGCACCCUGACGGUACCUAACCAGAAAGCCACGGCUAACUACGUGCCAGCAGCCGCAGUAA
rnacentral:rRNA from 1 species